GGGGGCGUUUGGAUUCGACUCCGAGAAGCAGAAUAUCGUCGCGUGCCGGAGAUGGGUGGUUGGCUCCGCUAAAAAUCCAUCCGAUUGUCAUAACUGGCAAAAACAACAAAAAGAAUCGCAGGACUACGUUCCGCCUUCUGCCAAAGGCGGCGGUGCGGAUGGCAGCCUGAAGUUCGAAUGCUCCGCAGUGGCGGGGCACACCACGGUGGUCGACGCCCACUGGGUCACCGCGGUGUAGAAAUGUGGGCAUGGCAGGGAGCUGGUGCGACUCCACGCCGUGAAAUAGCACUCGCCGGAGGAAGGGCUGCGUCGCCGCAGAAUUCUUUGGCUAAAUCCAUUCGGUGACUACGCACGUAGGGGUGGUAUUCGAGAGCUCGGAGGACGUGGGUUCGACUCCCACCGCCUCCACCG
rnacentral:sRNA from 1 species